rnacentral:tRNA from 1 species
UCCCUGGCAGUUCAGUGGUUAAGACUCUGCACUCCUAAAGCAGAGGACAUAGGUUUGAUCCCUGGUCAGGGAA